UACGGAGGGUGCAAGCGUUAAUCGGAAUUACUGGGCGUAAAGCGUGCGCAGGCGGUUAUGUAAGACAGAUGUGAAAUGCCCGGGCUUAACCUGGGAACUGCAUUUGUGACUGCAUGGCUAGAAUCUGGCAGAGGGGGGUAGAAUUCCACGUGUAGCAGUGAAAUGCGUAGAUAUGUGGAGGAACACCGAUGGCGAAGGCAGCCCCCUGGGUCAAGAUUGACGCUCGAUGCACGAAAGCGUGGGGAGCAAACAGG
rnacentral:rRNA from 1 species